CCUUUCGGACCCGCCAGGCUCCUCUGUCCAUGGGAUUUUCCAGACGAGAAUACUGGACCGGGUUGCCAUUUUCCUCCUCCAGGGAAUCUUCCCAACCCAGGGACCCAACCAGCAUCCCCUGUGUCUUCUGCACCGCACGUGGGUUCUUGACCGGCUGAACCACAAAUGCCAGCGUCGCCCUGCAUCGUGUGAUAUUAGUUUCUGCUCAGCCCUUAGGCUCCAGUUAAUCGGAUUUGUGCCUCCUCUGGAGUGACUUUUUCUUCCUAAUCACCUCCUGCCCACUUCCCCAUCCAGUUUAAUUGUUCUCUGCUCUUCAAACCUCACCCUCAAAGCACAAGUCAUUUGUUUGGUGACGGCGCCUUCUCUGUUGCCAUAGUGUCCUGGCCACACCUCCCUUGGCAAAGCGGUGACGCUUCAUCAUUUCCAUGACCUGCCUUCCAUGAAACCAAUCCUGGCUGGGCCUCCUGGCCCAUUGCUGCUAUAAUUUUAUGUUCUCCUCUCCAGACUGACGCCCCAGCACCUGGAAGGCACUCAGAGGAUGCUUGGCGGUUUUCACACCUGGAUUAUCAAUGAACGGUGCUGGGGCAACAUUUUACCUUGAAACAGUCAUAGAGCUGCAUGUCAGAAUAUGGAAAUUGAAGACGAAAAAAUACAGACACUUACGACACAGAACAUGAGCAACCAAAUGGAGAACAUCCCUGCCACCCCGGAAAGUUCCUUCACCUCCUCCCAGUCAUGUCUACCCCUUCCAUCCAAGGCAACCACCGUUCUGAUCGUUUUUGUCACCGUGGAUUAGCCUUCUGUGUUGUAGGACUUCUCAUAAAUAAUAUCUUACAGCGCUGUUAUUUGCGUGGCCUUUGUCACUCAGCGAAGGAUUUCUGAGGCUCUGCCGUUGUGCUGGUGUGUUGGUCUCCCCUGCCUCUUUACUAAUGAGCAGUGUUCCAUCACGUGACUGUCACUCAGACUCUUGCCUGUUCUCCUCCUGGUGGUCCCCUGGGCCAUCUCCAGGCUUUGGAUAAUAUUACGAAUAAAGAUGC
ensembl:lncRNA